rnacentral:tRNA from 9 species
GGGGGCGUAGUGUCAGCGGUAGCACAACGGUCUCCAAAACCGUUAGCCCAAGUUCGAAUCUUGGCGCCCCUGCCA